rnacentral:rRNA from 1 species
UACGAAGGGAGCUAGCGUUGUUCGGAAUCACUGGGCGUAAAGCGCACGUAGGCGGCUUUCUAAGUCAGGGGUGAAAUCCUGAGGCUCAACUUCAGAACUGCCUUUGAUACUGGAGAUCUUGAGUCCGGGAGAGGUGAGUGGAACUGCGAGUGUAGAGGUGAAAUUCGUAGAUAUUCGUAAGAACACCAGUGGCGAAGGCGGCUCACUGGCCCGAUACUGACGCUGAGGUGCGAAAGCGUGGGGAGCAAACAGG